AGUGAACGCUGGCGGUAGGCCUAACCCAUGCAAGUCGAACGGCAGCACAGUCAGAGCUUGCUCUUACGGGUGGCGAGUGGCGGACGGGUGAGGAAUACAUCGGAAUCUACUUUUUCGUGGGGGGAUAACGUAGGGAAACUUACGCUAAUACCGCAUACGACCUAUGGGUGAAAGCAGGGGACCUUCGGACCUUGCGCGAUUGAAUGAGCCGAUGUCGGAUUAGCUAGUUGGCGGGGUAAAGGCCCACCAAGGCGACGAUCCGUAGCUGGUCUGAGAGGAUGAUCAGCCACACUGGAACUUAGACACGGUCCACACUCCUACGGGACGCAGCAGUGACGAAUAUUGGACAAUGGGCGCAAGCCUUCUCCAGCCAUACCGCGUGAGUGAAGAAGACCUUCAGAUUGUAAAGCCCUUUUGUCGGAAAAGAACAACAGCAGGUUAAUACCCCACUAUUCUGACGGUACCCAAAGAAUAAGCACCGGCUAACUUCGUG
rnacentral:rRNA from 1 species